AGAAUUCAAAAGCAUUAAGAUUUAAGUGUGGCUGACUGCCACGGUUACUACUUGAGACCGUCAUUACUAGACUGAAUGAAGAGACGAACAUAGAAAUGAUUCAACUGGUUCAUGGUUCAUACUGGGGGAACAAGGUCCAUGGUUGGGAUCCAUGGGUCCCUCCAGUCUCCUGUUCAACGGUCGUACACACCUUGGGAGCACCCACUCGGUUUGUUCAUCUUCUGCAAAGACGUCAUUCUACAGUCAUUACCUUCCAGCCUAUUUGUUUCUGCAGAAUCUACAUAUACUGUUGUAUCUACCUCAAAAUGCAAACACCAAUGAAGUAAUUCAUCAGAAGACUUGAUAUGAAUAAAGAAUGGAACAGUAAAGUUGAAGAUAAAAAACAUAGAAAUUGAAUAACAAAUACAAGUAAGAAACAAGAAGAGUGAUAAAUAGCAGAACAUGGCAUCCAAGAGCUGAAG
rnacentral:lncRNA from 1 species